rnacentral:rRNA from 1 species
GACGAACGCUGGCGGCGUACUUAACACAUGCAAGUCGAACGGAAAGGCCCUGCUUUUGUGGGGUGCUCGAGUGGCGAACGGGUGAGUAACACGUGAGUAACCUGCCCUUGACUUUGGGAUAACUUCAGGAAACUGGGGCUAAUACCGGAUAGGAGCUCCUGCUGCAUGGUGGUGGUUGGAAAGUUUCGGCGGUUGGGGAUGGACUCGCGGCUUAUCAGCUUGUUGGUGGGGUAGUGGCUUACCAAGGCUUUGACGGGUAGCCGGCCUGAGAGGGUGACCGGCCACAUAGGGACUGAGAUACGGCCCCGACUCCUACGGGAGGCAGCAGGGGGGAAUAUUGCACAAUGGGCGGAAGCCUGAUGCAGCAACGCCGGGUGCGGGAUGACGGCCUUCGGGUGGUAAACCGCUUUCGCCUGUGACGAAGCGUGAGUGACGGUAAUGGAUAAAGAAGCACCGGCUAACUACGUG